ensembl:lncRNA
CACAAAGGGUCGGGGUGCAGAGAGGGGCAGCGGCAGUGCCAUUUUGUGGGGCGUCUGCCUUGACAAAAUGGCUUUCCCCCCUGUCGUUUUGAGAGCUUUUCUUGCUUUAGAGCCAGGUUUUGCACCCCUUUGAACUACACAGGGUCUUCACCGCUGAAAUCUAACUUAAGUUGUGUGAGCAAAUCCCACUGCUGAGAGCUGCUAAUUAAGCAUAACUGACGUGGUGAAGGAAAAGGACACGAGGAGCCUUCAAGCCCAGGAGGAUUAUGGUUGUCCGUCACAGCUCAGAAAGCCAGCAAUUCUGACAUAUCCCUUGUCUUGCAGAAGUCUCUUCCCAAGGCCAGCAUGCACCUCUGACUGGUGUGUUGGGAUGGGAUGGCCUCAUAACUUAAUCCACAUAUUCCUGCCUCCACAUCUCCUUGAUUGGGUAGGCACUUAUGCAGGUAGUAAAUGGAAAACUAAAUCCCUGACAUGAUUGCAUGGAGGUGGUUUAAGUCCAACCUGUUGAACUGAACAAUAUAAUUCAUGUUUUUCUUAAAAGGAGCAGUAUCUGGGCUUGUUAGCAUGUUCAUCUAAGGAUGUUCCGAAUGGGAUAAAUUUUAACAGAAGCAGAAGGAAAAGGGUAGUUUCAAAUGAAAGAAAACCUGAAGUAGCUUGACACAAGUCUAGGGAGGAAAGUUUCCCAUUAUGCUGUCCAGAAUGGCUUCUUUCAACACUAAAAGAGCUGAGCAUAAUUGUUGAGUGAAGUAGGAAGUUUUGCUAAGAUGCAUCACAUCUUGUGGUCAUAUGCUAAAAACAAAUAUCCCAAAGCUCUUGAUGAUGCAUCUGGCAUUUGUUCUCACUGAAUAUGUCCCAAGCCAGCCAUAUUUAUUGAAGGCACAUUCUUCCUUAGCCAGAUCAUGCAGAAAUUAAAACAAACAUCACCUAAAUAUGCAUCAUCUAAUUGGAGUAUUAAUCUGGCUAAAUUAGUUUAAACCCACUUGCUGUCUGCAGCUGAACUGAAAGAUUUGUAGAAGCAGGUAGAAGCUUCAGAGUCUGGAGAUAUACAGUACUUCUGCAUUUGAUUAUAUUCUCUAAAUUUACUCACAAUUUGGAGAGAGAUCAUAACUUACUUUCCAGGAACAGCAUUCAUAUUUUCCAUACAGUGCAUUAGUUUAAAAUGCAGAUUAUAUCCACAUUAAAUAAAGGGCAAGUUUUUGACAGAAUGCCUCUUCAAGUAGUUUAUAAUCAGAAAUGUCACAUGUAACACUGAAAGUAAAACGUACACAGAGCAUUUCUCUCGUGACUGACGCUUCCUUUUCACUCUUCUCAUGUUGUUUCAUAGGUGUUCAGGGAUGUGGAAAUGUGAGACUGUAAAGGAUGCAUAUACUUCUGCUGUUCUUGGAUAAUGUUUUGGACAGUCUCUUCUGGAAUGUAGCUUCUAAAAAUUACUCUUUUUUCCUCUGGCAAAUAUAACAGCCUGAGACAUUUCUCAUAUGGAAAGACCUGAAGGAGAAAACAAGAAGGUAAAGAGGGGGACAUAACUUUGAUAGGAUAUUUUUUCAGAAGAUGGAGCAUCUGUGCACGGCAAAGAAAUAUUUAAGACAAAGAAAUUCUAAUCCCGAUCGUUUAAAGAUUAAUUAAAGCAUCUUGCUUUACUCAUUGCCAUAAUUCCACCAUUUGAUUAACCUUAGCUGUCACCUGAAUAGAGCUAGGGCUGUGCUUUGUCCCACCAGAGCCCUCUCCCCACACUCUGUGAGCAGCACUUCAGUAUGUCCGUAUCCUCAGCCUGGCCACUGGGAAAGUGUGUAUGAAUAAGCUGCACGACAGGGUCAUAAAUAACAUGGAGAGCAGAACAAAUCUUGGCAGCAGAUCACAGCUGCUGGGGAGACAAGAGCUAUGGUAGACACAUGAGAAGAAAAGGAAAAGAAGAGUAAUAUUUAAGAGGAAAGUAGAAAUUUUACUGUUAGUCUCUGUUCCAUUGAAAUCAGACCAUUUCUGACCUUGGUUUCUUUGUUAGCAGGCUUGGUCUCCUGAUUUCUUAAAUGCUUUUCUUUUUGUCUAACCUGUCAGGGAAGGACUGAUGCUUUAAAACCAUUAGAAAAUCUGCUUUCCUUAUGGAAAGUCAAAUUCAAAACUAUAAAAGGCAAUCAGCUUUGAAGGAGAUCACAUCACUCCCAAAAAGACUUGUAUACUGUACAUGCAUAUCUCUAAAUCCACAAAGUGCAUUUCUAUCCUUAAGUCUGUGUGACCUUUCAUGGAAUGCAGGCCUAAGUAUUUUUUCAAUCUCUUGUGUCCAUCACAAAGUCCAAGCACCAUUAUUGCACAAAAUUCUUUUUUCCUCUUUUAAGUUUCAUAACCAAAAUCUCUUCAAACUGUGUUUUAAAACUGUAGCAAGACUUUAAGACUUGUCUGGAAAACCUUCAAACAAUUACAAAUAUGCACACAAAAAAUAUGUGCUUAGAUGAGGUAAUCCACAAGAGGGUUUUUAAGUGGCCUUUUGAAAACCAACUAUUGUAUAUAUAAAUGUCAAAAUUAAUUAAAAAUCAACAAAAAACAAGAAGUGAAAGCCGCAAUGCUGUAUUUGUUAUGAAUAUACUGAUUAAGCUCUCUCCCAUUAGUAAG